CCUACGGGUGGCAGCAGUGGGGAAUAUUGCACAAUGGGGGAAACCCUGAUGCAGCGACGCCGCGUGAGUGAAGAAGUAAUUCGUUACGUAAAGCUCUAUCAGCAGGGAAGAAAAUGACGGUACCUGAGUAAGAAGCCCCGGCUAACUACGUGCCAGCAGCCGCGGUCAUACGUAGGGUGCAAGCGUUAUCCGGAUUUACUGGGUGGAAAGGGAGCGCAGACGGUGAGACAAGUCUGAAGUGAAAGCCCGGGGCUCAACCCCGGGACUGCGUUGGAAACUGCCUGACUGGAGUGCUGGAGAGGCAAGCGGAAUUCCUAGUGUAGCGGUGAAAUGCGUAGAGAUUAGGAAGAAUACCAGUGGCGAAGGCGGCUUGCUGGACAGUAACUGACGGUGAGGCUCGAAAGCGUGGGGAGCAAACAGGAUUAGAUACCCCGGUAGUC
rnacentral:rRNA from 1 species